rnacentral:rRNA from 1 species
UGGUGGGUUGCCUUGUCAGGUUGAUUCCGGUAACGAACGAGACCUCAGCCUGCUAAAUAGUGACUUCUGCUUCGGCAGUUGGCGCACUUCUUAGAGGGACUGUUGGCGUCUAGCCAAUGGAAGUAUGAGGCAAUAACA